rnacentral:ncRNA from 2 species
CCCUAGAAUAGCCACGUCGGUGUUCUUUCGAGAACCUAAUAGAGAAUCCGCCGUGGCCUGGCCGCGAAACGGAACUGCCCCCGCAACUGUAGGCGGCGAGCGAUGCUCGACAAUGCCACUGGACGCUAUGUCUGGGAAGGUGAGCUAGCGACGACCCGUCAGUCAGGAGACCUGCCGACACCCUAACCUUCAU